AUACCAGAUCGAUAGUGCACAAGUACCGUGAGGGAAAGGUGAAAAGAACUGAGGUGAUCAGAGUGAAAUAGAACCUGAAACCAUUUGCUUACAAUCAUUCAGAGCCCUAUGUAGCAAUACAGGGUGAUGGACUGCCUUUUGCAUAAUGAGCCUGCGAGUUGUGGUGUCUGGCAAGGUUAAGCAAACGCGAAGCCGUAGCGAAAGCGAGUCUGAAUAGGGCGCUUAGUCAGAUGCUGCAGACCCGAAACGAAGUGAUCUAUCCAUGAGCAAGUUGAAGCUAGUGUAAGAACUAGUGGAGGACUGAACCCAUAGGCGUUGAAAAGCCCCGGGAUGACUUGUGGAUAGGGGUGAAAGGCCAAUCAAACUUCGUGAUAGCUGGUUCUCUCCGAAAUAUAUUUAGGUAUAGCGUUGUGUCGUAAUAUAAGGGGGUAGAGCACUGAAUGGGCUAGGGCAUACACCAAUGUACCAAACCCUAUCAAACUCCGAAUACCUUAUAUGUAAUCACAGCAGUCAGGCGGCGAGUGAUAAAAUCCGUCGUCAAGAGGGAAACAACCCAGACUACCAGCUAAGGUCCCUAAAUCUUACUUAAGUGGAAAACGAUGUGAAGUUACUUAAACAACCAGGAGGUUGGCUUAGAAGCAGCCAUCCUUUAAAGAAAGCGUAAUAGCUCACUGGUCUAGUGAUUUUGCGCGGAAAAUAUAACGGGGCUAAAGUAAGUACCGAAGCUGUAGACUUGCACACAACUUAGAUUAUUUAAGUUUAGAAUAUGAGAAACUAAGUUAUAUGUUUAGUUAUAUUUUUACUGAUUUUUAUAGAGUAAAGAUAGAAAUAAAACUUAGUAAAAUCAGUAAAAAUAUUCUUAGACUAAAGUUAAGUAGUUUAAGUUGUGUGCAAGUGGUAGGAGAGCGUUCUAUUUGCGUCGAAGGUAUACCGGUAAGGAGUGCUGGAGCGAAUAGAAGUGAGCAUGCAGGCAUGAGUAGCGAUAAUUAAUGUGAGAAUCAUUAACGCCGUAAACCCAAGGUUUCCUACGCGAUGCUCGUCAUCGUAGGGUUAGUCGGGUCCUAAGUCGAGUCCGAAAGGGGUAGACGAUGGCAAAUUGGUUAAUAUUCCAAUACCAACAUUAGUGUGCGAUGGAAGGACGCUUAGGGCUAAGGGGGCUAGCGGAUGGAAGUGCUAGUCUAAGGUCGUAGGAGGUUAUACAGGCAAAUCCGUAUAACAAUACUCCGAGAACUGAAAGGCUUUUUGAAGUCUUCGGAUGGAUAGAAGAACCCCUGAUGCCGUCGAGCCAAGAAAAGUUUCUAAGUUUAGCUAAUGUUGCCCGUACCGUAAACCGACACAGGUGGGUGGGAUGAGUAUUCUAAGGCGCGUGGAAGAACUCUCUUUAAGGAACUCUGCAAAAUAGCACCGUAUCUUCGGUAUAAGGUGUGGUUAGCUUUGUAUUAGGAUUUACUCCGAAAGCAAGGAAACUUACAACAAAGAGUCCCUCCCGACUGUUUACCAAAAACACAGCACUCUGCUAACUCGUAAGAGGAUGUAUAGGGUGUGACGCCUGCCCGGUGCUCGAAGGUUAAUUGAUGGGGUUAGCAUUAGCGAAGCUCUUGAUCGAAGCCCGAGUAAACGGCGGCCGUAACUAUAACGGUCCUAAGGUAGCGAAAUUCCUUGUCGGUUAAAUACCGACCUGCAUGAAUGGCGUAACGAGAUGGGAGCUGUCUCAAAGAGGGAUCCAGUGAAAUUGUAGUGGAGGUGAAAAUUCCUCCUACCCGCGGCAAGACGGAAAGACCCCGUGGACCUUUACUACAGCUUGACACUGCUACUUGGAUAAGAAUGUGCAGGAUAGGUGGGAGGCUUUGAGUAUAUGACGCCAGUUGUAUAUGAGCCAUUGUUGAGAUACCACUCUUUCUUAUUUGGGUAGCUAACCAGCUUGAGUUAUCCUCAAGUGGGACAAUGUCUGGUGGGUAGUUUGACUGGGGCGGUCGCCUCCCAAAUAAUAACGGAGGCUUACAAAGGUUGGCUCAGAACGGUUGGAAAUCGUUCGUAGAGUAUAAAGGUAUAAGCCAGCUUAACUGCAAGACAUACAAGUCAAGCAGAGACGAAAGUCGGUCUUAGUGAUCCGGUGGUUCUGUGUGGAAGGGCCAUCGCUCAAAGGAUAAAAGGUACCCCGGGGAUAACAGGCUGAUCUCCCCCAAGAGCUCACAUCGACGGGGAGGUUUGGCACCUCGAUGUCGGCUCAUCGCAUCCUGGGGCUGGAGCAGGUCCCAAGGGUAUGGCUGUUCGCCAUUUAAAGCGGUACGCGAGCUGGGUUCAGAACGUCGUGAGACAGUUCGGUCCCUAUCUGCCGUGGGCGUAAGAAGAUUGAAGAGAUUUGACCCUAGUACGAGAGGACCGGGUUGAACAAACCACUGGUGUAGCUGUUGUUCUGCCAAGAGCAUCGCAGCGUAGCUAAGUUUGGAAAGGAUAAACGCUGAAAGCAUCUAAGCGUGAAGCCAACUCUAAGAUGAAUCUUCUCUAAGCUCUCUAGAAGACUACUAGUUUGAUAGGCUGGGUGUGUAAUGGAUGAAAGUCCUUUAGCUGACCAGUACUAAUAGAGCGUUUGGCUUAUCUUUAAUAAAGCAU
rnacentral:rRNA from 1 species